UUUAAAUCUAUUGUCGAUUUAAAACAUUUGCACAUAUCAAAUUAUAUUAGAUUUUACAUCGUUUUAGAUAUACAUUAUAAAUGUAAUAUCUAUUAUUUUUUAUUAUUUAUUUAUAAUUUUUAUUUUAUUAUUAAAAAUUAAAAUAUGUAAUUUUGAAAAAAAAAUAAUAAAUUAAAUUUAUUUAAUUGACAUUCAAUAUUUUGUCGUAUAUUGAAAAUAAUUGUAAACGAAGAGAAUAAAUAAUGGGGAAAGGAUAGAAAUAAGAUAAAAAUAUUGAAAUCAAUAACAUUUUUAAAGUAACACAAAUGAAACACAAAAAAAAAAUAUAAAUAAAAGAUAUAAUGAAAGAAAAAUAGAUAUAAGGAACAUAUCCUGGUAUAUAUAAACUGGGUACAUCUAAGCGUCCAAUUGAUAUAAGUUUGUUAAAAUCUUGUUCUAAGUUGUAAGCAAUUGGACCUAAAUAUAGAAUUAUAAAAUAAAUCCAUUAAAUUCAAUAUACUUAUAAAAAUUAUAUAUUUUUUAUUUACCUUUAAAAUGCAAUAAAAAUUGAAUACAUGCUCCAUUAUAUAAAACUUUAGUUUUUCUAUUAUCUAUAGAUAACAUCCAAUGAGGAAUUCCCAUAAUUUUUCUUACAUCUUCUAAAAAUUGUGCCCUAUAAAAAUGUUUGAAUAAUGAAUUGUAAAAAUAUUUGUAUCUCGAAAUUUUAAUAAAAUUUUAGAAUAAUGAAAAAGAUAAAAAAAAAAAAAAUAGAUAAAA